CGAAGAGGGAGAAAGGGGAAGAGAGAAGAAAGGAGAUCCGACGAUGAGAGAGGGUCGCGCUGCUGCCACCGUCAGAACCGUGAGGAGAGGGAGUCGCGCCGUCAGCCACGUCGCCGUCCGUGAAGCCAUCGCAGUCCGUGAAGCCAUCGCUGCCAGCCGCGUCGUUACUGUCGUCGCCGGUUUUCACCACGCCUCGUCACCACCGCCGCGCCGUGCUCCAUGCCGUCGCCGCCACUGUUUCGUCACAAGAGAAGGACGCACGAGGGAGGAAACAGAACCGCGAGGGAGCUCAGCCACGGAGAGAGGAGAUGCGCGUCAGAUCUGUCGCCGCGAGUCCGCCCAUCGCCACACCACGUCGCCGACUGUGAAGCUGUCUCCGUCGCCGCUGCUGGAGGUCACCAUCGGAGCCGCUGCUCCACUUCUGUCAUUCUUCUUUUUACAGUGAGUUGCCCGCGCCUUGAACCGUGUUUCCUUUUUGUAGUUCCACCUUGUCCUAGGUUCCCAGCAGCAAUGUCUGCAAAUGAAUUAGCAUCAACACCAGCCAUGUUCAAUAGCACACUCACAAAGGAUGAAGCAUUCUUGUGUCCUGUUGAUGGAUCCAUUAUGAUAAUAGCGAGUCAUCUGCCCUUCAACCGGAAUGGAUUCAAAUUUUUCACAAAUGCUGGUGGACUUGGAAAGACUGAUAUCAAAGACGUAUUAGAGCGAGCUGCUGAUAUAUACAAUCAAUUUACAGCUGAAAGUUUAGCAAAUUCUGAGAGAAAGGCUUCAUCAUCUAUUAAGCAAGUUGAUUACAUGAAUGUAUAUACAUCUGACCUAGUAAAGGCAGUUCGCAAAGCAGCGGGAAGCAUAGGUUAUGGCAUAAAGGCUUAGAAAUCUAAGUUAAGGAUUUAAGUACAACUUCAAGAGGCAAUGCAAGAUUGUGAGGAGCUAACAAAGAAAAUAGAUGUGCUCAAAGAAAAACUUAAAAAGCAACAAACACGCCAAAAGGAAGAAUAAGCUCGAGUGAAAGCUCAAUUGGAAGCUCAACAAGCUGUUGUGAACUCUCUCAUAGCGCGCUUUGACAAUGAAACAAACUAGACCUUAAAGGAGUGCUGAAAUGGUGACCAUAUGCUACCUUGAGGGCUCAAGAAUGUUUUG